rnacentral:rRNA from 1 species
UAUUUCUGGACGGAGUACCGUACUCGCUCCCUGUUCUUGUUCCCCUCGCGUCUCCACCACAGGAAAGCUUCUUUCUUUCCCCAUUUCCCAUCGCCUCCCCAGCAAACCCGAUCUACAAAACCUAGAUCAAUAAAAACAUCCUCUAAACCAUAGACCUCGCCGCCGCUCCAUGCCGGCCCGAGGACACCACAGGCAUGGUGAUCUCUAUAGAGAAGUCGCCCCGUCGCCCGGACUAGGCAACGCUCUUGUCUGGUGGCUCUUCCCGACGGCAGCCGGCGACUACUCCGACCUCCACCACUCGAGACCAAGCAUACCAGAUGCACGCAUGGAAGUCGCCCGCUCCGUGUGAGUACCUUUCCUCAUCCUCCAAGCAGGCAGAGGUGGUAACUCAUGAUGUCUCACCAAUGUCAACACACUCGUCUCCACUCAUCUCGGCUCGUAAACCUCCUGGUUGGCAUAUACAGUUUUUCAUCAGAAUAGAUCUGGGGGGUUCUUACCACACGUAUCCUCAUCUGGGGGGGCCAUUCCGGAGCUUGGAGGAAACUGAAAAGGCUAUCAAAAGCCAUCUUGAUGGCCUGCGCUCUCCAAUAAUGUGCAGAGAUGGGCUAUCGUCGGCGGAGGUUGCAGUGCGACAUCGCCUUUACUGGCCUGAUGGCACAAGGAAGAAGUCGUUCGAAGGCAAUCCCGGGCGUAGGAAUAUGAACCUAUUGGUUCAAGCUUUACUGGAUAAAUACAAUGAAGACCACCAUCUUUUGGGGAAUCUUGCAUAUGAACUUGAUAAUGUUGUGUGCUCCCGACAAAUUUACGAGAAGGAGGGCGGCCUUAUUAACAAAUUCUAUCAUAUCAAUUUGACUGCAAAAACCAAAGGAGAUGAUGGUUUUCACGUCGACAAUCUAUUCUUUGGUGAAAUCACACGAAUAGAAGGCGAAAAUGAAGAAUACAUGCUCAAUUGUUUCUGUAUGGUUAAACCUAUUGACAAUGGCGGAUGCUCAGGUUGUACGAAGUACGGGGAGUAUGAUUUGAAGCACCCUGUUGAUGCUGAUAAAUACAAAGGUGGCCACUCUACCCCGGCCAUUCAAUGUCGUGGUAUCAAUCAUAUUCCUUUCUUGCAACCGGAUGUACCUGUAUACAUCCGGAAUAAGCAGGAUUGGUUGGAGUUUGAGAAGGCUAUGUUGGCGAAGGAGGAGGCUAAGAUAAGAUAUAUAUAUGAGUGCCCUGCUGAUUCUCCUAUUCAAGCAAAAGUGGAUGGUGCAAGAAUGCCUGCUGGUUUGGCCAAGGGACAAGAGGAUGCUGGUUUGGCCAAGGGACGAGAGAGUGCUGGUUUGGCCAAGAGAGGAGAGGGUGCUGAUUUGACCAAGAGAGGAGAGGAUGCUGGUUUGGCCAAGCGAGAGGAUCACCAGGGAAGCGUGAAGUACGUUGUACCUGCUAGGCGUGGGGUGUUGUUUUGAGUAUCCCCUCAGGUCUCAUGGACUUGACUACAUCUACAUGGCGAAGACAGCAUAGCAAUCUAUGGGAAUGUAGUUUGUUGCCACACUUUCUAUCAUAAUUGCUGUUUUUUUUAAUUUCCAGUAUCUUUUGAGAAGGAUUGAACUCGUCGUGCAUCAUCAUUUGGAAUGUUGUCGCUGUAUUGGUAGCAUGUAUGAUAAAGUUUGGUCGGAUUUUAUAUUGCUAUGGUACUGGAAUCGGAUGCACUUCCCAAUUUUAUCAGUUGUAGAUGAAGUUUGUAAUCCAGAAGUUGUGAUCUUGUAUGUUGAAAUAUACUCAACCAAUAAAUCCUUUCAGUCCAUAAUGUGAUUUCUACUUUUUGAAAAAAAUGCAUUUGAUCAAUUACUUUGGACUUGGCG